rnacentral:rRNA from 1 species
UACGGGGGGGGCAAGCGUUGUUCGGAAUUACUGGGCGUAAAGGGCUCGUAGGCGGCCAACUAAGUCGGAUGUGAAAUCCCCAGGCUCAACCUGGGAACUGCAUCCGAUACUGGAUGGCUUGAAUCCGGGAGAGGGAUGCAGAAUUCCAGGUGUAGCGGUGAAAUGCGUAGAUAUCUGGAGGAACACCAAUGGCGAAGGCAGCUCACUGGGACGGUAUUGACGCUGAGGAGCGAAAGCCAGGGGAGCAAACGGG